rnacentral:lncRNA from 1 species
AGUUUGAUGAAGAAAGGCAGAAUGAGCAUUCAGCUCCUUGCCUGUAAUUACCAGGUUCCCAGGCUAGGGGUCCAAUCGGAGCUGUAGCCACUGGCCUACGCCAGAGCCAUAGCAACGCAUGGCUGGGGCGGCGUGGGGCAGGGAGUGCGUGAGGAGGUGAGGGGUUGAAAGUAGAACUUUUGAUCUAUGAUCCAGCAAUUUGACGUCUGAUAUUUUUCCAACGAACACAGAAACAUUACCUAUAAAGAUAGACUCAACCCUGUAUUUAUCACAGCAUUAUUUACAGUAGCAAAGAUAUGGACGCAACCUAAGUAUCUGUCAGUAGAACAGAUAAAGAAGAUACCACAGUGGAAUGUUACUCAGCCAUGAAAAAGAAUGAAAUUCUUCCAUUUACUACAACAUGGAUGGACUCAGUGGGUAUUAUGCUAAGUGAAAUAAGUCAGAGGAAGACGAAUACUCUAUGAUUUCACUUGUUGGUGGAAUUUAAGAAACAAAUGAACAGAACAAAACAGAAACUGACCCAAGAUACAGAGGACAAAGAGUGCAACCGGAGGUGACAGUGCAUCCGGAGAGGACCCCGUCCCUGCAGCUCCGCAACCUGCUGCUUUGCUCUGUGACAGGGUUCUACCCAGGGGCCAUCGAGAUCAGGUGGUUCCGGAACGGGCAGGAGCAGAGAGAGGGGGUCCUGGCCACUGGCCUCGUCAGGAAUGGAGACUGGACCUUUCAGACAGUGGUGAUGCUGGAAAUGACUCCUGAGCUUGGGGACGUCUACACCUGCCUUGUUGAUCAUCCCAGCCUGCUGAGCCCCGUUUCUGUGGAGUGGAAUGUGGAGUGUGGCAUUUCUUCCUAGAGGAUGGGAAACCAGCUCGGCCAGCUCUCAUUGCCCUGACUAGUCCUUUCACAUUUCCAGAAUAUGUUGAAAUCAGAGAUGUGGUUUUGGAUGUUUGGGAAGCAAAGAAGCAUAAAAUGGAGCAGAAGGUAAAGCCAGCUUUUGCCUGAAGAUGGAGUUCAGUCUUUUUACAUGUUUUAGCAGAACCUGCACAGAUCAGAAGCCUGAAACUAUCUUUAUCUUAUGUGGGAAUUGACACGCUUUGUGGUCAGGAAAGCUGGUCUUCUCACACCAAGGUCAAGUGUGGCUGUAGGAGGCGGAGCCUGCAGGUGCAGCAGCGUGUGGAGGGUACUUCUGACGCCCCCCUUCUCUCGAGGAAGAGAGUGUCCUAUCCCAGUCGGCGUUCCCAUCUUCCCCCCUGGACAACCUCAGACUUUUAAUGGCUUCGAGGUUUAGACCACAUGUGCAAGUGUGAGAUAUUUCUCUUCUCAAUUUUUUUUUUGUGGUGUAUGAUAGGAAGUCAUUAUUUUAAUUCUUGGAGAUGAAUUUGUUUACAGUAUUAAAUUACACAUGAGGGAAAUGAGAAGGGUUGAUGACAAAGGUCGUGUGAAAAGAUUGAGAGGUGGGUUUAACAAUUCAAAUUAGAUUGAAAGCUGUUAAUGGGUGGCCUUGAAGGUCGGAGACACCUCAAGCCUGGUGGAGAGAAACAAGGGGACAGAAGAGACAGAGGGGCUACUUCAAGAUUUCCAAAUAUUAUUCUGACUAAUAGUUCAAUACAAAUUUUAUUUUACUGCUGGGUUUAUAAAGCCGAUCACAGAUCUGUCAGACCACGUUAGAAGCAGGAAGAGGAGAAAACAAGAUCCCUUUUAUUGUAGUCUAGAUCCUUGGGUGACAUUUUAUUCCUUCCACCUUCACAGGUAUAAAUGUAGAUAUAGAUAUAAAUGGAAAAAUGGUCAGAGGCUUGAGAUCAUAGUAAACAGGCCAAUUUGUCACUAAGCUUUGUUUUUAAUUAAUUUUUUCCUAUCAGUUUUAUUGUGUUAUGAUUGACAUACAACAUUGGAGAAGUUUAAGGUAUAAAGCAUGGGGAGUUCCCUUGAGGUGCAGCGGGUUAAGGAUCCGGUGUUGUCACUGAAAUGGCUCGGGUCGCUAAUGUGGUGCAGACUGAAUCUCUGGCCCAGGAACUUCCACUGCCUCGGGUGCAGCGGAAAAAAAAAAAAAAAAAAAAAA